rnacentral:rRNA from 1 species
UCGAGGAUCUUUCGCAAUGGGCGAAAGCCUGACGAAGCGACGCUGCGUGAGCGAUGAAGGCCUUCGGGUUGUAAAGCUCUUUCGCAUGGGAACAAGAAAAAAGCGUGAAUAACGUUUUAAUUUGAGUGUACUAUGAUAAGAAGCACCGGCUAACUCCGUGCCAGCAGCUGCGGUAAUACGGAGGGUGCAAGCAUUAAUCGGAAUAAUUGGGCGUAAAGGGCGCGUAGGCGGGUAGAUAAGUCAGAUGUGAAAUUCCGAGGCUCAACUUCGGAGCUGCAUUUGAAACUAUAUAUCUUGAGGGAUGGCGGAGAAAGUGGAAUUCCACGUGUAGCGGUGAAAUGCGUAGAUAUGUGGAAGAACACCUGUGGCGAAAGCGGCUUUCUAGCUAUUACCAGACGCUGAGGCGCGAGAGCAAGGGGAGCAAACAGG